rnacentral:rRNA from 1 species
GGGUUGUGAGGUUAAGCGACUAAGCGUACACGGUGGAUGCCCUGGCAGUCAGAGGCGAUGAAGGACGUGCUAAUCUGCGAUAAGCGUCGGUAAGGUGAUAUGAACCGUUAUAACCGGCGAUUUCCGAAUGGGGAAACCCAGUGUGUUUCGACACACUAUCAUUAACUGAAUCCAUAGGUUAAUGAGGCGAACCGGGGGAACUGAAACAUCUAAGUACCCCGAGGAAAAGAAAUCAACCGAGAUUCCCCCAGUAGCGGCGAGCGAACGGGGAGCAGCCCAGAGCCUGAAUCAGUGUGUGUGUUAGUGGAAGCGUCUGGAAAGGCGCGCGAUACAGGGUGACAGCCCCGUACACAAAAAUGCACAUGCUGUGAGCUCGAUGAGUAGGGCGGGACACGUGGUAUCCUGUCUGAAUAUGGGGGGACCAUCCUCCAAGGCUAAAUACUCCUGACUGACCGAUAGUGAACCAGUACCGUGAGGGAAAGGCGAAAAGAACCCCGGCGAGGGGAGUGAAAAAGAACCUGAAACCGUGUACGUACAAGCAGUGGGAGCACGCUUAGGCGUGUGACUGCGUACCUUUUGUAUAAUGGGUCAGCGACUUAUAUUCUGUAGCAAGGUUAACCGAAUAGGGGAGCCGAAGGGAAACCGAGUCUUAACUGGGCGUUAAGUUGCAGGGUAUAGACCCGAAACCCGGUGAUCUAGCCAUGGGCAGGUUGAAGGUUGGGUAACACUAACUGGAGGACCGAACCGACUAAUGUUGAAAAAUUAGCGGAUGACUUGUGGCUGGGGGUGAAAGGCCAAUCAAACCGGGAGAUAGCUGGUUCUCCCCGAAAGCUAUUUAGGUAGCGCCUCGUGAAUUCAUCUCCGGGGGUAGAGCACUGUUUCGGCAAGGGGGUCAUCCCGACUUACCAACCCGAUGCAAACUGCGAAUACCGGAGAAUGUUAUCACGGGAGACACACGGCGGGUGCUAACGUCCGUCGUGAAGAGGGAAACAACCCAGACCGCCAGCUAAGGUCCCAAAGUCAUGGUUAAGUGGGAAACGAUGUGGGAAGGCCCAGACAGCCAGGAUGUUGGCUUAGAAGCAGCCAUCAUUUAAAGAAAGCGUAAUAGCUCACUGGUCGAGUCGGCCUGCGCGGAAGAUGUAACGGGGCUAAACCAUGCACCGAAGCUGCGGCAGCGACGCUUAUGCGUUGUUGGGUAGGGGAGCGUUCUGUAAGCCUGUGAAGGUGUGCUGUGAGGCAUGCUGGAGGUAUCAGAAGUGCGAAUGCUGACAUAAGUAACGAUAAAGCGGGUGAAAAGCCCGCUCGCCGGAAGACCAAGGGUUCCUGUCCAACGUUAAUCGGGGCAGGGUGAGUCGACCCCUAAGGCGAGGCCGAAAGGCGUAGUCGAUGGGAAACAGGUUAAUAUUCCUGUACUUGGUGUUACUGCGAAGGGGGGACGGAGAAGGCUAUGUUGGCCGGGCGACGGUUGUCCCGGUUUAAGCGUGUAGGCUGGUUUUCCAGGCAAAUCCGGAAAAUCAAGGCUGAGGCGUGAUGACGAGGCACUACGGUGCUGAAGCAACAAAUGCCCUGCUUCCAGGAAAAGCCUCUAAGCAUCAGGUAACAUCAAAUCGUACCCCAAACCGACACAGGUGGUCAGGUAGAGAAUACCAAGGCGCUUGAGAGAACUCGGGUGAAGGAACUAGGCAAAAUGGUGCCGUAACUUCGGGAGAAGGCACGCUGAUAUGUAGGUGAAGUCCCUUGCGGAUGGAGCUGAAAUCAGUCGAAGAUACCAGCUGGCUGCAACUGUUUAUUAAAAACACAGCACUGUGCAAACACGAAAGUGGACGUAUACGGUGUGACGCCUGCCCGGUGCCGGAAGGUUAAUUGAUGGGGUUAGCGGUAACGCGAAGCUCUUGAUCGAAGCCCCGGUAAACGGCGGCCGUAACUAUAACGGUCCUAAGGUAGCGAAAUUCCUUGUCGGGUAAGUUCCGACCUGCACGAAUGGCGUAAUGAUGGCCAGGCUGUCUCCACCCGAGACUCAGUGAAAUUGAACUCGCUGUGAAGAUGCAGUGUACCCGCGGCAAGACGGAAAGACCCCGUGAACCUUUACUAUAGCUUGACACUGAACAUUGAGCCUUGAUGUGUAGGAUAGGUGGGAGGCUUUGAAGUGUGGACGCCAGUCUGCAUGGAGCCGACCUUGAAAUACCACCCUUUAAUGUUUGAUGUUCUAACGUUGACCCGUGAUCCGGGUUGCGGACAGUGUCUGGUGGGUAGUUUGACUGGGGCGGUCUCCUCCUAAAGAGUAACGGAGGAGCACGAAGGUUGGCUAAUCCUGGUCGGACAUCAGGAGGUUAGUGCAAUGGCAUAAGCCAGCUUGACUGCGAGCGUGACGGCGCGAGCAGGUGCGAAAGCAGGUCAUAGUGAUCCGGUGGUUCUGAAUGGAAGGGCCAUCGCUCAACGGAUAAAAGGUACUCCGGGGAUAACAGGCUGAUACCGCCCAAGAGUUCAUAUCGACGGCGGUGUUUGGCACCUCGAUGUCGGCUCAUCACAUCCUGGGGCUGAAGUAGGUCCCAAGGGUAUGGCUGUUCGCCAUUUAAAGUGGUACGCGAGCUGGGUUUAGAACGUCGUGAGACAGUUCGGUCCCUAUCUGCCGUGGGCGCUGGAGAAUUGAGGGGGGCUGCUCCUAGUACGAGAGGACCGGAGUGGACGCAUCACUGGUGUUCGGGUUGUCAUGCCAAUGGCACUGCCCGGUAGCUAAAUGCGGAAGAGAUAAGUGCUGAAAGCAUCUAAGCACGAAACUUGCCCCGAGAUGAGUUCUCCCUGACUCCUUGAGAGUCCUGAAGGAACGUUGAAGACGACGACGUUGAUAGGCCGGGUGUGUAAGCGCAGCGAUGCGUUGAGCUAACCGGUACUAAUGAACCGUGAGGCUUAACCUUACAACGCCGAAGCUGUU